CAUAAUGUGACAUGGUAGUAAGCCAGCUCUAUUAUCAUACAUAAAUCACCAAGGAAAUUUCUGUGAUAUUAAAUAUGAAGUCUAAAUUUAUAUCUCAUUGUACCUGAAGAAACACGAAUUAGCACAUUCAUAUGUUCACCCAAAAUCUCCUUUCCAAUGUGCUGUCAUUUUCAGACUUUACAUGGAAUACAAUGGCAUACGCCCUUAGCAAAGUUGUCAGAUUGGUUGUGGCUUCCAGCAUGUUUACAUAAUUUGUGGUUACAUCAAAAGAGAGAAGUGAAUGUCAUACUUGGGACUGAAAUGGCACACACUACAAAGACGAUCGCCAAUACUUUGUCAUGAAUGAGGUUUGGGCAUGCAAGCUUCCCGCUCCUCUCUUGCCCUCAUGCACCGCAAUUCCAACUUCCUUUUCUCAUCUGAGCAGGCCAUAAUCUGCCCUGAUAUCCAAAGUAGGAAAAUAUAGCAUGUCUCCAAAUUUUAAAUUGGAAACCAUGGUUCAGUUCUGGACAGAAGCAAAGGUUUAUGGAAACCAUGAUCCGAGGGAGCAAAUUAGCCCAUGGAGCAUGGAGAGAGCUCUGAAGCUCAUUUAUAAUUAUAAUCCAUUAUGUCUGAACCUGGAUUUGUAGAGUAUAAUGUCCCAAAGAGGUACUAGUGGCAAGUAGGCCCUGUUAUUCAGGAUCCAUAAGCAAGCUGAGCAUACCAUAUACUGUACUUGUACUUGACGUUUAGGUAAAACACAUAUAUCUGUGUAGGGAUGUCCUGCAACUUUCAUUUGCUAUGAUAGGUUAUUUCUCUCUCACUCCUUGCCCUACAUUGUGGCAUCAUAAACUGUGGGGGUUUUUUGCUAAGCAGAGUGGACAGCUCUUUACUCUUGAACAUGAUGGACCCAAUAUCUUAAUUAAUGUUGAGUGGGCUUGCACUCGAAACCAUUUGUCCUAAAGUCACACAGAAUGAGCAGGGAAAUCACACCUUCUUACAGAGAGUUGGGUCCAAAGGCAUUUUACCUGGCUUGUUGCUAAGAUACUUACAUACUAUGAAUCAGUUUUGUAUUCACUGUUUGGCUUGGGUUUUUAGGAGAUAGGUCAUUGUUGCUGCAAACUUGCUGCUGUACAGAUCUUUGUACUGUUGUACACUGGCAAAUUGCUAGUCCUCCCUGCUGUAAGGAAACAGGCUCUUUAAUGAGUGCCUGGAUCUAUGUUCCCACCACAGGUAAGAGGAUGUGCCACACUAUACUGCUUUAAAUGUAUUGUGGCUGGGAAUCAUAGCAAAUGCUGCAAAAUAACUUAAAUUACCUCACUAUACCAUAUAUGGCAUGAUCCUCAUGCAGUGGGCCAAAGGAUAUGGACCUCUUCCCAAAUAUUCUUCCUGACAGGUGGCACAGCAUCUUCCCACCCUUGCAGUGUGAAUGAGUCUCACAUCAUCAUAAAUAGCAAAAGAUAGCAUUAAAAGGGGGAAGGGAAACAAUUUGGUAGGUUAUUUAUUUGAACAGCCUGCUCUGAUACUUACAAACUAAACAUAGGUUUAAUGAAUGCAGUCCCAAUUGGCAGAGUAAAUGUUUUGUUGAAUAGCUACCAGAAAGACUGUGAACCUUGGAUACAGAACCGUGUAUGUGCAAACAGUGAGUCUGAGGACUUUCAAAGUUCAUUUGCUCUCAUCCUUUGCCAAGUCUUUUUCCUUUCCUAACAACUUCAAAUCUAAGGUAAUGAUUACUGUGUCCCAAGGGUUGUACAGAAUUUCACCCACUAAAGGAGUGCUAUCUUGGUACGCCUGCAAGCAAAGUUAAAAUCAAGAGGGGGAAAACUGUGGCCCUGCAGAUGUUGUCAGUAUCCAGGCCCCAUCAAUUCUAACCUGAUAGCCAACUGUCCAGGGAUGCUGGGAGUUGUAGUUCAACAACACCCGGAGGGCCACAAGUUCCCCAUCCCUGGUUUAAAUGGCAAGGCGUGACCUUUAUAAUUCCUGGCUAAACAUCCUUUUAGGUUGCUUCUCUGGGUUAAACCACAGAGCCUAGGACUUGCCGAUCAGAAGGUCGGCGGUUCGAAUCCCCACGACGGGGUGAGCUCCCGUUGCUCAGUCCCUGCUCCUGCCAACCUAGCAGUUCGAAAACACGUCAAAGUGCAAGUAGUUAAAUAGGUACCACUCCAGCGGGAAGGUAAACGGCGUUUCCGUGCGCUGCUCUGGUUCGCCAGAAGCGGCUUAGUCAUGCUGGCCACAUGACCUGGAAGCUGAACGCUGGCUCCUUCGGCCAAUAAAGCGAGAUGAGCGCCGCAACCCCAGAGUCAGCCAUGACUGGACCUAAUGGUCAGGGGUCCCUUUACCUUUGAGCAUUCAUACAUCUCAUAAAUUGUUCUUCUUGCUUUAUAUUUAUAUGAAACACUUAAACUGCAUUGCUGCUAAUUCUGGUGUCAGGCAUUGUCCUGCGCAGGGGCCCCUUACUGAGAGCCCCCUAGCCCUACUGUUUCCCCUUAAUGUUGCUGCUGUCUCCAAACAAGUGAGCAGUGGUGACAAGAACAAGGAGGAAAAGAAGCAGUCUUUUCUUGCUUUUCUCCUCUGGGGCAGUGCUGUGUAUUAGCUCUUCAUAUAAAAAACCAACCAGAACACAAUCUUAACAUGGUUGAAAACCUUCUCUAGAGAGGAGAGGAGGUGUUUCCUGUGACUACACUGGUUGCAUCCAAACAAUACUGUGCACAGCCCACUUCUGCUGCAAACUUGCAGAACUGUUUUCCUCCAAGCUCAGCCCUGGAAAGAAAAAAUGUGCUUUUGAACCAGAUGUGGUGAGUGCAGCUUCACAACUCAAAUUAUGUACAUUUGUACUCACUAGUAUACACUCACAACCAGAGCCUUGCUUCACAGGAAGUCGCCUUAUAAGCGGGUCACUAUUGGUCCAUCUCAGUAUUAGCUGGCAGCUUUCCAAAAUCUUUCGACGGAAAGUGGUACUUCCCCUCAGAAAAUGCCAAGGUUUGAUCCUGUGACCUUCUUUCACAUCAAGGGUGGGCUCUGCCAUUAAGCUACAGCCCCUCCUCUUUGUAAUGUCUCCAACUGUCCCCAGGAAAUGAUUAAUAGGUCCAGCCACACCUAUUCAGAAAUUAUUCCUGAGCUGAAAUAUAUGCUGCUGCAAUUGUAGAAGUCUCUGUGCUGCUAGUAUAUCUAUAGGGGGCUUGAAACAUACAUUAUUCCAGUCAGUGUUUCUCCAUCUGGGAGGCAUUGUACAAUGGUUUUGAUGGAAUGAGCAGACUCCAUAGUCUGCUUGUAAGAUGAUUUUCUCCCGAAUUCUGCACCACUCGCGUUUGUUGUUGUUUAUGAGUCAUUGUGUCCAAUAACCUAUUUACUCUUCUGCUGGUCUAAACCCUGAGCAUCCUUUGGUUUCUGCUGUUUGUUUUUGUGGGCUGGCUGGAGGGCUUUGAGACUCAAGAUGCGGUACCCUACAAAAUAGGUUUUUAUUUAUGUUAAAUCUUGUUACAAAGCUGCUACCAUAUAUCAAGAGAACCAAUCUUGUGGACUGCAGUGCAGCCUCAAUCUGUUAUUCUGGUUGCAGAUUAUGCUGCCUUCCUCAGGGUUUUAUUUACUCUCUGGUGAAUUUGGAGACCUGGCAAAUUUUGCUGUGGUUAAGACUUACCUGAGCCUCCGUUUUUCAUGCUUACUUAUUUGCCAGCAAAAUGUAUUCUUUGGAAUAUUUGCCUGGAUGUUUAAACUGCACUUCCUCGCUUGCUACUUUUUGCCUUUUUAAGAAUAUAAAAAUCCAUGGGCCUUUGCACUGUAUAUCCAAAUACAGAUUUGUAGUUCAUACCCCAAUUUCUUGCAAACUGUUCUUUGUGCUUGGACUUUCUCCUUCAGGCCUUAGAGGUGCAUUACACUGAAGCCAGCUGUGCACUCACAACCUCCAUUGAUUUCAUUAAUUGUCCUUUUCACCUCUUUAACAAGUUAUGAUUAGAUUCCCUUGAAUUCCAUUUGGUGUGUUAAGCAUUAUCGGUGAUUUAUCAAUGGUUCUCAAAAUGUUUGUUCUUAAAGAAAGGCAGUAGGUCUUUCAGUGCCAUCCUUACCCUUUGCUCUCCCCACCCCCUUUGUUUUCCCUUGUUUGAAAACAUGGGCUCUGGGAUCACAUCAGAUCUCUGACUUUUUCUCAUCUGACUGUAGCCUACUGACUUGGGAGUUUACUGCUGGCUUCCCCCUCUGUCUCUAGAUUUAAUGGGGUUGGCAACUGGUUAUAUGUUUCAGUCUCUUGUUUUCAGUGCCCCCUUGUCAUUGCUGAUGACUCAUCAAGCUGGUGCGUCUGAGUUUAAUUGAAGCAGUAACAAUGCAAUCAACAUGUCUCUCUAUUUUUAUCUAGAUCUCCUCCUCCUCCCCCAACUGAUUUUCCUGCUGUAUGACUCACACUUUCUGGGCCUUACAUCUUGGCUCCUUUUUAAGGAUUAGAAAGGGGGGAAGGGGAUCACAAAUGUAACACAGCCCCCUCCCAAAGGAUGAGAGUUGUUCUAACCAUCCAUUUAAUAACAAUCUGUUUCUAACAUUUUGCUCUUUGCUGUUACCUGUUUUCCUAAAAUCUGGGUUAGGGUCCUGUUUUAUUUGGCUGUUGAACCAUGGACUUAGUAGGUGGCUGCCACUGUCAACUUCAAUUCCUCACCAAUAAAACAAGAAUACUUGAACCUUUUCAUAAGAACAAUGAAUAGGAAAAGUAUGAUUCAUAAAUGAUUACUAAUAUUUACAGUAUUGAAAAUAUUGCAAAUGUCUGACCUGUUGGGUUUUCUUUCCCCAGCUAUUGCCUUAAAACACAGUGCUAGCUGCUAAAUAUGGUUACCAGCAUUAAGGAAUUUAAACUUUUCAAGCCUUGAAGACCAACAGCAAGAAGCCAUGACUGUAUAGAGCAUUUUGUUGUCAUACAUGCUGUUGAUUGUGGAACGAAUUAACCUUCCCGUUAAGGUUUAGUACCUGUGGUCCUGGGAGGUUCGUGAUUUGAUUACCCUGAUCUUUUGGCAUUAUGAAAGAGAGAUCAUAAUUCUGCUUUGAUGGCAGUCAGUGUGAUCUACUGAAUUAGUUGUGAAUAUGAACCUUUCUUAGCUAUACUGUAUAGACCUUCGACAAGGCAUUAUCCCAUAGCUACCAUUCCCUAUCUGUAACCUUUUUUUGUGGGGGCGGCUAGAGAUCAUCACCUACUCACAUAGCUUAUUGCAAUAAUACAGAAUACAGUUUCUAUUUUAAGUGAUUAUGAAGUGGUUCUGAAUUCUGGAUGAAUUCAGAAUUCAUAGAAUAAUUUGGGCAGUACUCUACAACAAGGAACCACCAUUCUAAUUGGCUCCUUGAAAUGCAAUUGUGUUUGUACAUAACGUAUUUUCUAAGCAGGCCUGAUCUGUGUCUAGAUGAGAGACAGCCUGGGAACCAUUAUGGCUAUGCUGUGCCUGCACAGUUGGAAGCAGUAUAUGGGGGACAUGUUGUACCAU
rnacentral:lncRNA from 1 species